GGUCAGUAAGAAUCCACCGAUCCCAUCCUGAUGACCGACGACCGACAAGCCAAAGGAGUAUAUCGGAGCUCACUGGAUUUUGAUAAUCUAUUACGGUCUUGGAAACCUUUUUAUUGUUUAAUGGACUCAGAUAUGGAUGUUUCCUUUUCCAGGCGAGUCCUGCUACUGAGAUGCAGCAGCGGCACUUAUUUUUUCUAUCUUACUAUGCUUGCACAUUUAUCUGUCGCUAUUGACAGAAUUUCGUGUAUCUAAACAGAUGUAUUUUUCUUUAUGUCAUUCUUACCGACUUUCAAUUAACAACCACUAUCAUGCCUCACGUCAAGCUAGUUGGGGCGACUCUAUGAAUCUUCAUUAUCUUUUUUC
rnacentral:misc_RNA from 1 species